rnacentral:pre_miRNA from 1 species
UUACCUCAUAUUUGUAUGGAAUGGGAUCGUUUGCCUACGUUUGCCGUUAGGGGCGCUGUUCCAACUGCAUACAAAAUUGGCUUA